AAUAUUUGAUCAACUCUCAAUUUCUCAUAUUUGAUCAUUUUCCUCAAUCAUUACCCAGCACUGCACUUGAAGGAAACUCUUUCGACACUUCACUUUCAACCAACAUAAUUUAUAACAUCAACUAUCAUCGCCGGCACAGAUCACUUCUAGAACCAGAAAGAAUACUUUCAUCUUCACCAUCACCUUCCCCAUCACCUUCCCCAUCACCUUCCCCAUCACCUUCCCCAUCACCUUCACCAUCACCUUCACCAUCACUUUCACCUCCACCUCCGCCUCCGCCUCCGCCUCCACCUCCACCGUCGACAACUAAUCUUAAGACUAAAGAUUCGCACAGGAACGGGAUGCUUGGUUUAUGGAUAGGGCUUGGAGUCAGCAUAGGUGUUCUCUUCCUCGUUUUCUUGAUAAUUUUGGUUUGUUUUUGCAAGAGUGGCAAAGGUGUG
rnacentral:lncRNA from 1 species